rnacentral:piRNA from 1 species
UUCCUCGGUUCUCUGUGGUCUGAUCAUUC